AAUACCCGAAGAUGAAAAUGAUGUUUAUUUAUUUGACUAUUUUGUUGAUGAAUCAGGAGAAUGGGAAAAUUGGAACAUCAAAUCACUUGAAGAGUCUCCAGUUAUACAAGAUAACUUCAGCAGAGAAUUUGUAUACACACAAAGAACAAUUCCUAUAAAAUACUUCAUGAAUAACUUCAUACUUCAUGGUUUCCCUUCUUUAUUAACUGGUCCCAAAGGUUCUG
rnacentral:lncRNA from 1 species